GGGAAUUCGAUAAAAAGUGAAAGAAAAUAAAAACAAACACCGUGUCUAAAUUCUAUGAAAUAAUCAGACGGAGGGAAGUUAGUGGGUCAGUGGACCGACCCACUGCGCGCAAACGAAUUCCGACGUUAAAGGUGUGUUAAAGGUGCACGCAAGCCCUUGUGCCGCCUAAGGGCGGAGAAGUUCGAGUAACCUGCCGCCCAUUGGAAUUCGUGUGCGCUUGAUGUUAGAGGGGGAUGAACGUUGCGGAAGCUUUCCCCGGAUAGACCAUAAAAAUUAUCGGGUUUAAUAAAAAGGGUCUUCCAAGAAGGCUUCGCUGAAUGUUUCAUUUUUUUUUUGUGUGGUCUUCCCACAAGCCCGACACGCAUACUUUUUCGGUUAUUCUGACAUGUCAUGCAAUUGAAAAAGAUGCGUGGAUGCUUAAAAUGAAAGAUAUACAAGGUGCGGGACUGACUAAAAAGGCAUUUACACUUCCCGGCCGGUCCAAAUGGAGGUCAACCGGUCAACCUCCUCCAACUGAUACAUCGCUGAUUUUAUUUUGUUUUGUUUGUUUGUUUGUUUUUUUUCUCUCUUUCUACUGACUUCUUAUUUCCAUAGAUGUUGAAAAAAAACAAAAAAAAACAAAAAAAUGUAGUUAGCGCACGACUUUUGUUUCGGUUCCAGUUCCUCAAUUUCAAAUGGGAACACAGUCAA